rnacentral:rRNA from 1 species
CCUACGGGAGGCAGCAGUAAGGAAUAUUGGUCAAUGGACGCAAGUCUGAACCAGCCAUGCCGCGUGCAGGAUGAAGGCCCUCUGGGUUGUAAACUGCUUUUAUCUGGGACGAAAAAGGGGCUUUCUAGCUCAACUGACGGUACCAGAGGAAUAAGCACCGGCUAACUCCGUGCCAGCAGCCGCGGUAAUACGGAGGGUGCAAGCGUUAUCCGGAUUUACUGGGUUUAAAGGGUGCGUAGGUGGGUAAGUAAGUCAGUGGUGAAAUCUUCAAGCUUAACUUGGAAACUGCCAUUGAUACUAUUUAUCUUGAAUACUCUGGAGGUAAGCGGAAUAUGUCAUGUAGCGGUGAAAUGCUUAGAUAUGACAUAGAACACCAAUUGCGAAGGCAGCUUACUACAUAGUUAUUGACACUGAGGCACGAAAGACGUGGGGAUCAAACAGGAUUAGAUACCCUGGUAGUCCACGCCCUAAACGAUGGAUACUCGACAUCAGCGAUACACUGUUGGUGUCUGAGCGAAAGCAUUAAGUAUCCCACCUGGAAGUACGACCGCAAGGUUGAAACUUAAAUGAAAUUGACGG